UGGGGAAUUUUGGACGAAUUGGGGGCAACCCGAUCGAUCCAGCAAUGCCGCGUGUGUGAAGAAGGCCUUCGGGUUGUAAAGCACUUUUGUCCGGAAAGAAAACGUCGUGGUUAAUACCCGUGGCGGCUGACGGUACCGGAAGAAUAAGCACCGGCUAACUACGUGCCAGCAGCCGCGGUAAUACGUAGGGUGCAAGCGUUAAUCGGAAUUACUGGGCGUAAAGCGUGCGCAGGCGGUCCGCUAAGACAGAUGUGAAAUCCCCGGGCUUAACCUGGGAACUGCAUUUGUGACUGGCGGGCUAGAGUAUGGCAGAGGGGGGUAGAAUUCCACGUGUAGCAGUGAAAUGCGUAGAGAUGUGGAGGAAUACCGAUGGCGAAGGCAGCCCCCUGGGCCAAUACUGACGCUCAUGCACGAAAGCGUGGGGAGCAAACAGGAUUCAGAUACCCU
rnacentral:rRNA from 1 species